AAAAAACACAAAUGACACAUGACUGUACAUCUCUUCUUUGGGAACCAAAAAGUAAGUAGCACCCGUGGAAACGGGUGAGAGUGUGAAAAGCAGGGCCAGAAAAGUUAAGAAUCGAAAAGAAAUUUACAUGAGACUUAACACUGGUAAACAGAAUAGCUCUUGCUUUUCCAGAGAAAGCUAAUAGCUUUCCCUACCACCUUUCUUCUAGAUAUUGAUUUACAUAACGGUUUCGUUUCAGGAGGAGGCAUAGACAAAGCACUACUUUCAGGUUCACAUUCAUUUGUCUUAACAGGUGAAUGCUCCCGUUGUCGCUGCUCUCGGAACACCAUCAAGAGUUUCUG
rnacentral:lncRNA from 1 species